rnacentral:misc_RNA from 1 species
GGGAUACGAAGGAUGAAAAUGUGGUGCGCUGGUAGGUGCGAUUUAGGUAACGCUGGCCUAAACGAAACCCAACCGCAAACAGGCUGUAACACCAAUUCUUUUUGCCUAGCAGCCGCCCCAUCCUCUUUCUGACUGCGUACACAUCUCCUUCCUCAUCCACCGUCGACGGCUUUGAGCUGCCGGACGAUCAGUGCCAAUGUCCUAACAAACCUUAGGCACAUUGAUUUCAGGUCUGCAGAUUUUUCCCUCAAUUUUUUUGUUACUUCCUCUCACUUGUUUCUCGGUCUGACUCGGCUGCUUAUAGUUCCCCCACCCUCUCGAACGGACUCUCAUUAAAGAUCAAGAAGGCGACCGCCGAUCUAACCGCACUGGCGCUGUUUUCAAGUUUGUCUUCUCUCAACUCACGACGAUCUUUCAACUCGCUCUUUUGUUCUUUGUUCCCAUCGAUACCCUUCAUCUCCCUCGGAGAAUCAGCCACUUCCAGUGAAGUUCAUUUGCAAGACUUGAGUUGCUGUCCCACGAGUGACGAGUGAUACUGCUCAAAUUUUUGACAAAGAAAAAAAAAUAUUUGGUUGAUAGAGAAGAGAAAGGGAAAAAGCACCCCUCUCUCUUCUUUCCGAAAGAAAUCAUUGUUCUGUUCGCCAACUCUCCUUGACCUGCUUGAGAUUAGAUCUCUGUUAAAGUUGAAAUCACUAAUUCAAAGGAGUUUAUCUGAUUUUGUUGUUAGAAGAAAAAUUCUAUGGCUACAGUGAAACCUGGUCGCUCCAGAGGAACGCCGGUGAAGGAGAAUGGGACGAAGCUUGAAGAAGGUCUGAAUGUAUUCAAGUCCGAUAAGUUUGAUGCCAAUGCUUAUGUUCAGUCUAAAUGCUCUCUCAAUGACAAGGAAAUAAGACAAUUAUGCUCAUAUCUUUUGGAUUUGAAGAAAGCUUCAGCUGAAGAAAUGCGUAAGAGUGUCUAUGCAAAUUAUGCAGCUUUCAUUCGCACUUCAAAAGAGAUAUCAGAUUUAGAGGGGGAGCUUUCAUCCAUCAGAAAUCUGCUAUCUACUCAGGCUACUUUAAUUCACAGUUUAGCGGAGGGUGUUCAUAUUGAUUCAAUAUCUACCAAAGCUUCGGAAGCCUCUGCAAUAAAUGGCUUGUUAAAUACUGAACAUCGAGAACCUUCUGACUUGGAGAAGUGGUCAGUUGAAUUCCCUGAUCUCCUUGAUGUUUUGUUAGCCGAAAGGAGAGUGGAUGAAGCCAUAGCAGCCCUUGAUGAAGGAGAACAUGUAGCAUCUGAAGCAAAAGAAACAAAAUCAUUGAGUCCUGAUAUACUUGGGUCAUUGCAGAUGGCUCUUAUGGAGCGCCGGCAAAAGUUAGCUGAUCAGCUUGCUGAAGCUGCUUGUCAACCUUCUACCCGUGGAAGUGAACUUCGUGCAGCUAUAUCAGCUCUUAAAAAGCUGGGGGAUGGUCCUCGUGCUCAUAAUUUACUACUCAAUGCUCAUUUCCAGAGAUAUCAGUGCAACAUGCAAAGCCUUCGCCCAUCGAGCACCUCGUAUGGAGGGGCAUAUACUGCUGCACUUUCACAGUUAGUGUUCUCUGCUAUAGCUCAAGCAGCUAGUGAUUCUUUGUCUAUUUUUGGCAAGGAACCAGCUUAUACUUCUGAGCUUGUAAUGUGGGCUACAAAGCAAACAGAGGCCUUUGCUGUUCUAGUUAAAAGACAUGCAUUAACAUCCUCAGCCGCUGCUGGAGGUUUAAGAGCUGCUGCAGAGUGUGUUCAAAUAGCCUUAGGUCAUUGUUCUUUGUUGGAAGCUCGUGGCUUGGCACUUUGUCCUGUGCUCUUAAAACUAUUUAGACCUAGUGUUGAGCAAGCAUUAGAUGCAAAUCUUAAACGAAUUGAAGAGAGCACUGCUGCUUUGGCUGCUGCUGAUGAUUGGAUACUUACUUACCCUCCAAAACAGUCUGGUAGGUCUUCUGUUGCAUCUCUUGGUAACACAGCUGCAUUUCAGCAUAAACUUACAAGCAGUGCCCAUCGGUUCAAUUUGAUGGUCCAGGACUUCUUUGAGGAUGUUGGACCACUUUUAAGCAUGCAGCUGGGAAGUCAAUCACUGGAAGGCUUGUUUCAAGUAUUUAAUUCAUAUGUGAACAUGCUGAUAAAAGCAUUACCAGGUUCAAUAGAAGAAGAAGCAAACUUUGAGGGUUCAGGUAAUAAAAUUGUACGGAUGGCUGAAACUGAAGCCCAGCAGAUUGCAUUGCUAGCCAAUGCAUCAUUAUUGGCUGAUGAACUGCUCCCACGGGCUGCCAUGAAGCUCUCUCCUCUGCACCAAGCGAAUUACAAGGAUGAUCCCCGUAGGAGGACUUCGGAUAGGCAAAAUCGCCAUCCUGAGCAGCGAGAAUGGAGGAAACGGCUUGUGAGUUCAGUUGAUAGAUUAAAAGAUACUUUUUGUCGCCAACAUGCACUUGAUCUCAUUUUUUCAGAAGAUGGUGAUAGUCACCUUAGUGCAGAAAUGUACAUAAACAUGGAUGGAAGUGCAGAUGAGGUAGAAUGGUUUCCAUCUCCAAUAUUCCAGGAACUUUUUCUAAAACUGAACCGAAUGGCUAGCAUAGCAGCAGAUAUGUUUGUAGGAAGGGAAAGAUUUGCUACAUUGCUAUUGAUGAGGCUUACAGAAACAGUUAUAUUAUGGCUUUCAGAAGAUCAAAGCUUUUGGGAUGAUAUUGAAGAAGGCCCAAGGCCUUUGGGUCCUCUUGGUCUUCAACAGUUUUAUUUGGAUAUGAAGUUUGUGAUGUGCUUUGCUUCCCAAGGACGAUACUUGUCAAGGAAUUUGCAUCGAGUUGUCAAUGAGAUCAUUUCUAAGGCUGUGGCAGCAUUUUCUGCUACAGGAAUGGAUCCAGACAGUUUGCUGCCAGAAGAUGACUGGUUUAAUGACAUUUGUCAAGAAGCAGUGGAAAGAUUAAGUGGAAAACCAAAAGCUAUUGACGGAGAUCGGGAACUUAACAGCCCAACUGCCUCUGUCUCUGCUCAAUCCAUUUCAUCUGUCAGAUCUCAUGGAAGUUCCUAAGGAAGGUCCAUUCCCCUUUGUAAAUUAGGAUGUGAAUAUGCUCAUAUGAUUUGGUUUAUUGAUCUCUUGUUCCUUUAAUAUUCUUUUGUAAUUUUAGUGUGUGAUCCAUCUUUCCUGAGGCUUUAGGACCGUAUGAAAUCUUUCUUUGAAGCAUCUUUUGUUGUUGAGUUUCUGUUCGAGUCUGUAAAUGCUGAUUAUUUUUAUUUGAUCCUGAACUCGGUUCUGUACUUACUCCUUGAUAUUGGUUGCUCUUCUUUAUCUUCUUUAUUUCAUCCAAGUGUGAAUGCAGGUGUGAUAUGUUAAUCCGUUGAUUUUCU